rnacentral:rRNA from 1 species
GCAAGUCGAACGCGAACGUCUCUUCGGAGGCUAGUAGAGUGGCGAACGGGUGCGUAACACGUGAGAACCUACCUCUUUGUGGAGGAUAUCUCGGAGAAAUCCGAAUUAAUCCUGCAUAAGUUCGAGAGAAGAAAGACGGCCUCUUGCUGUCGCAAAGAGAUGGGCUCGCGGCCUAUUAGUUAGUUGGUGGGGUAAUGGCCUACCAAGGCAAUGAUGGGUAUCUGAUCUGAGAGGAUGGUC